ensembl:lncRNA KLF3-AS1 KLF3 antisense RNA 1
AAACAACGUUGCCACACGCGGAGAGCACGGAGAUUUCUGGGGCUUUGGAGGGAAUCGUGAGCGGGCGGGAGGAGGCCGGGGACCACACAGAGAAUAACUUGUCUGACUACCAGUAUUCUUGGAUGCAGAAGUGCUGAAGAUGAGCACACACACGUACGGAGAAUUUCUGGAGAAUUCAGCUGCUCAGAACAAGAACUGAGAUCCAGAGAGAUGAUGACUUUGCCCAUAGACCAAACAAAGAAAUACAUGUUUCAGUCCUGUGUCCUCCUGCUAUGUGUGUCCGGAAUUGGUGGGUUCUUGGUCUCACUGACUUCAAGAAUGAAGCUGCGGACCCUCGCGCUCACAGGAUAUCGGCCAUGUUAAUGAGUCUGAUGUUGCUAGUAUCACAGGCACCGGAAAAUAUGCACAUUAUGCUGGAGCAUUAGAAUGCAACAGAAAGAGCCCUGGGCUUGGAGUAUGCAGAACUGGUUCUUGUUACAACUCCUCUUACUAGUGGGCUCUGGAAGAAAACACAUUGAAUUCAUGAUCAUGGUUAACCUUUGGAGAGAGAGAGGAGACCAGGAUGAAGGAGCCAGUCGAAGAUCCUGUUCAAGUGUACACUGAGCCAGCAGGUUCACCAGAAAGCUAUUGAGCGUUUGCUGGAACACAUUAUGCAGGGUGAAUUUCUUCUGGAAUGUUGCCAAGGAUUUUUUAUGCUUCUGUGGCAGGCAUUUCUUGAACAUUGUCAUUUAGCCAAGCAAAGAAGAUUUUCUUAAAGGAUAGAAAAUGUUUAAAAAUUUUUGUUUGUUUGAAGAUAGGUUAAAUGGCUAUAUGAUCUCAGGAUAAGACAGAGAAAAUCACUUAUUUCUCUAAGUGAUCUGAUUAGGUUAGUGAUGUUUUGCCUUUAAACAGAUUCAUCAUUAUUCCUAAAGUAUUGCUGUAUUAAUACUGUCUUCUAGAAAGUAUCCACCAGUGCCUACUUUUCUUCGAUAUCAUUAGCUGUUUUUCGAAACUGAAUUUGCUCUUCAGAGAUUUCUCAUAUGUUUGCGUAUAAGGAACUACUGGUAAUAGCCAAGAAAAUUUGGAGGUGCAGAGAACAUGCUGAAACAGAAUUUUUCACUUUCAAUUCUAGAACUAUGCCAUAAAAAAAAAGGAAAAUGUAAAAAUGUCUUUAUAUUAGAGCAGAUAUUUUAAAAGUAUUGCAAAUUCAAUGAUAAAUUCUAAGGUUAAAAUUGGACACAUAAAAAAUACAAUAUAUAAAUAUCUCCCCAGAAAUUAUUAUCUAAUGAAUAGUAAAAGCUGACUACAAACCAUGUCAUUUUAACAAGGGUUUAAAUAGUACCAAGAUUCUCAUCAUAUGCUCUGGGAUACCCAGUGAUGUACAAGGGUUCUCUCUAAACAUGGGGAGGAAAAAUUUCAAAUAUAAAGAUUUGAAUCUUG